CUCUUUUUCCUGUCAUGUGAAACAUGCCUGUUUCCCCUUUGCUUUCUGCCAUGAUUAUAAGUUUCCUGAGGCCUUCCCAGCCAUGCUUCCCGUACAGCCUUCGGAACUGUUUGACCACAUGAUUUGCUUUGGCAGAUGGAACGUUAGCAGCUGGGGACCUUUCUGCCACCACAAAAGCCUAGAUUAUCCUGAUGGACGAUGGAAGACACAUGGCUGUUGUUCCAGCUGACAUCAAGCCAACCACUGGACAAGAUAGGAAAGCUCUCCUAGAACACGAAGGCCCGAAUGAACUGGCCCAGAGCAGAGAAACUGCUCAGCCAAACUGCCAAGCUGUGAUUAACAAAGGCUUCAUCUUAAUCCACCAGAUUUUGGGGUGGUUUGUUACACAGCGAAUGCUAACUGAUACAGUCAUUAUCAUUAGGUCUUUCUUGAGCUGAUCAUACUUCCCAGCAUAGAAUACGCCAAUGUCCUGCUCCUUAUUCCUGGCUGCCAGCAUUGUAAGAGCUGAGUGGAAGGCUGGGGUUUUCAGCACUCAAUAUGGCACUAGACAAUCCAAAAGAUCUACAAAAACUUUACAUCUACAAGCCAAGGCACUGAAUCUCAGCCCCAGAAAGAGACUGUGACCUUCCUUCCUCAUCAGGAUCCCAAGAAGCCGUAGAACAAGAGGCUAAGAGGUUCGAAGGACACUGGAAAGGCUUCAUGCUGCUGUAGGUUGUGGAUGGACAAGCUUUGUGUCUGGAGCUGCUGUAGUGGGCCACUCAGUUAGUUCACCCAGGCUCCCACAUUCUCCAUGCUCUGUUUCAGGAAACAACCAGAACUGUGGACAGUCUUACCAAAGACACUAACAUCAUCACCAGAGAAUUAAAGAAAUCCAGUGAGUGGCCCACAACAAUUGGCUGGCAUAGGACAUGAUCCUAGCUUCCCACAGGGCACUUGGGAUUGUGCAGUCAGAAGUGAUUGAUGUGCAUAUGUUUCCACAGACCUCUCUGAUGUCUAUGCCGUCACCAAAAAUAUUCAGACUGCAAACCAGGAAAUGCAUUGAAUUGCCACCAUUGUCCUUAUACUUCCGUUUAAGGACACUCCAGGCCCAACGUCUCAAGGCCUUUUAGGCUAGCUUCCUUCAAACCUCAAAUCUUGGUUGCUGUCUAAUUUAACCUUUAACCCUUUUACCAUUUGCCCUGAGAACACUUGCCGGCAGCACUUCCAGCUGCAGCGUUUACCCAAAGAUACCUCUGCCAGGAAAGACCUUGCUUUUAUUAUUACUUUUGCAUUUCUCUAGCAUAUUGACAUUGGAAACAAAAGACAUCAUUCUAUAUAUAGCAUUCUGGUUUUAGUGGUGGUAGUUCCAUUUACAAAAUAUAGUAAUUCUUGAUCACUGAAAAUGUCAGAGCCUAGAAAACGGAGCAUUCCUAUGCGUGAUGUUAACAUCAUUAAACAGUUGUUGGCCAAAGACUCAUGUGAUGAAUCCAAUUUUUCUAAAAUAAAUAGCUCAGAUGAUUCAGAUGAUUCUGAUAUUAGGUCUGUUUAGAAAUAAAACUUCAAAAACAGUUUUUAUAUUUUACUUCCACAUUGAAAAUCAGUCAGAUUUGCUUUGGCCUCAAAGAAUGUGUUCAUGUAAAAUUAAAUGAGCACUAGCAGCCAGCUGUCCUUUUUUUUUUCUAAAUGGGAAAAGGGUUAAUAAUUAUUAUUUUAAACAUAUGCUAGGUAUACCUCUCUUGAAUGCUGAUCUCUAAGACUCUAACACCUGUCAUUCUAGAACACAGUCAGCAGAUGACACAGCUAGAUCUUCCGGGCCAUUGAGAACAUGAAGGCCAGCGCACCCCUGAGACCUAAUUGAACCCGCCUCAACCUUACAGUGAAGUUUUGGGAGGUCAUCAGCGAUGAGCAUGGGAUCGACCCCACAGGCAGUUACCAUGGAGACAGUGACUUGCAGCUGGAGAGAAUCAACGUGUACUACAAUGAGGCUGCUG
rnacentral:lncRNA from 10 species